GGAGAGCUCGGCGCAACAGCCCCGAAGAUCCCGACCACACGGGGAAAAUCCCGGGCAAACGAAGUACCAACGGACGGAUCGUGGCUCCCAAACGCGCGGCCCCUGCCCCUCCCCCGUAGCCGCAACACGAACAGGGACCUGCAACUGCAACUGUACACCCAGUGGUUACCGGGGACUGAAGGAGCUCAGGACCUUCACUGCGUUGGAACCAGGAACCAGGAGACCGCUGGUGUUGGCAAUCACUGGAACCAGGAAUAAGGAGAAGGCUGAAAACAUCAUUAUGCAAUCCUGAAAGUAAAGCAGCUUGCCAAAUGAAUCUAAAUGGAUGAAAUGGAUAUGCGAUAGUCUGGUAAUGGAAGAGUUCACAGCUGUGCAUUGAAAGAUGAACGGCAGCAUUACUGUGCAGUUUGGUCUUAGUUUAAGAAUGUAUGAUGGAAUCUCAGUUAAAUGCAAGUCAGCCUGUAGACUUAAGUAGUUUUGUUCUUGAUUAAGUCUGUUUAAUUAGUCUCUCUAAGUGGUAAAUAGCUGACUUGUAUUUCAUCCUAUUACAAUGUACUAAAAGCUCAGGUAUGAGAACGCAUGCUGACAUGUUGUAAUCAGUCUGACUGGCAUGAGAGAAAAUAUCUCCUAUCCUAUGGGGGGUUGUUUUGUGUUCUAAGGUUACAAUGUGGAAAUUAAAACUAAGAUAAAUUAGUAAUGGUUUAUAAACUGUAAGUUUUUAAAAUAGACUAACUGUGUUUGCUAAAAUUUAAAACUAAUAUUUCAUAAAUGUUUGUGGAUAUCAUAAAUAAGACUAAGAUUCUGUCAUGGUUAUUUUUAGUAAAAGUCACAGACAGGUCACAGGCAAUAAACAAAAAUUCACGGAAGCUGUGACCUGCCUGUGACUUUUGCUGCUGCGUCUCCAUGCUUUCCCCUGCCACCAUGGUGGCUGGAAACUGUGGGGUUCCCCCUCUGCCCACAGCAGCUGGGAGCUGCAGGGUGACCAUAUUUCCCAAAGAGAAAACAGAACACCCCCAGCCGCUCGCCUGAGGCAUGUGUCCCCGCUCCCCCCGACCCCACGUGAGGCUGGAACCCAUUGCUGGAACCGGAGUCUGUCACCUGUCACUGGAACCUUGCAGGGGGCCCCCUGUCACCUGUCACUGGAACCCUGCCAGGGCCCUGCUGGCUGCCAGCUCCAGAGUACCACAGCCCCGGGGGCUGAAGCAGAGAAUAUCACAGAGAUCUCUGGAAGUCAUGGAUUCACAGAACAAAUAAUUCUCCAGCAGUUAAUACCACAUAGUUAAACUCCUUUUUAUUUACUAAUUGAUAAGAGAUUUCAAUUAUUUACAAGUAGUCUCAUUACAUCUUUUUAGUGAAUUUCCUUCUUUUGGAUUGUUGUCUCCAACUGUUCGAAUUAACAUGAAAAAUCCAGUAAUUUAAAAAUAUAAACUUUGAUUGUGCAAGAUUAACAGAUAAAGUAAAAAUAGCUUACAAGAAAUUUGGUUGCUAGAUACAUUUUUGAGCAUCCUCACAAUUGCUACCCCAUUAGUGAUCUGCAUUCUAUGUAAAACAAGGCCCCCUAUUCUGCAAACACUUCUGCACAUGCUUAACAUAACCCUCAUAAGUAGCUGAAGCCAAAAUCCAACAUGUACCUAGCUUUACUUGUGUGUUUGUAGGAUGCAAAUGAUCAGUAAAUUGCUUAAUUGGCAGUUCUGUACUAGUUUAAAAUAGAUGUAAGCCCUCAAUUAUUAGAACACAUUCAAAAUACUAGGAUUUUGCCAGCAAAGGCUAAGUUAAUCAAAGAGGUAAUGCAAUUAAUUCCUAUGAAAGGCUGACUUCCUCUGUGUACAGUAUAUAUAGGCUUGGAAGGAUUUGAUUUUUAUCAGUAAAUAUCAAUUUCACCAGACACACACAAAUCAACAAAACAAUAUUUUCACUGAUAAUCAAAAUUUAAAGGUAGGCAAAGAAAGAAAAGUACUACUUGAGAACUUAUUAGCGUUAAAGUCAACUUUGAACUAGGCUUGUUACAUAUGGACUAGUGAAUGAAUCUUAAAAACAUUUGUGAUAUGUUGAUUUAAAGAUAUUUACUUUGUAUAUUUUGACAUGUGAUACUGACAAUUUGUUUUGAUGGUUUAUAAAGCUUUAACAUUUUGAAUCUCAACGUUUAUUGUCAUUAAAUAAUUGUCCGACCCUCCCUAUAAUUCCCAUGACUGUGAACAUUCAAACAGAUAAAAAUCUAAAAUGCUUAAAACCCAUAAUUUUGUACAACGUUGAAAAUGUUCAUGGAUAAAAAUAAAAAUGCUUAAAAAUUAA